rnacentral:misc_RNA from 1 species
AUGCCUAUGAACGAUCUGUAAGUGUACCUUGAUCCCUUGUGUGAUCAUGUUUAUAACUUAAAGAGUUUAAGGACUACCAAAGUAAUCAUCCUGACAUCUGUGUAUGAUCAACGUUUACAUUUCAUUCCUUCUUAGGAACGCAUAUCUAAUGUCGCCUACAAUAUCGUAAAUGGAAAGUGCACUCCAGUAGCAGAUCAAACCGCCCCGGUAUAUAUUACCAUCGGCGAUGGAGGAAAUCUUGAAGGCUUGGCAACUAACAUGACAGAGCCACAGCCUGCAUACUCUGCAUAUCGGGAGGCAAGUUUCGGUCACGCCAUUUUUGAUAUUAAAAACAGAACCCAUGCUUACUACAGUUGGCAUCGUAAUCAGGAUGGAUAUGCUGUAGAAGCUGAUUCUAUGUGGUUCAACAACAGAUACUGGCAUCCCGUAGAUGAUUCUAGAGGUGCCCAAUCAUAGUGAACAAAUUAUUUGUUCUGUUAAACAUUAUGGAAUAAAGUAGCCAUGUCAAAGUUGGUCAUAACACAAAAUCUUCCCCUAAAGCCACUAUUGCCUCUUCUCAAUUUGUUUGGUUAAAUAAGAAGAAAAACUGUAUAGUAAAAUUGCUACAUAUGAUCGUAUGCUUGUAUGUCUCAACUGGUAGAAGCCAGAACAAUAUUGCAAGAAGAGGAGGCAUUAAAAGACCCUUGUAUCUAUUUGCUUUUCAAUAAAGUUAAAAUAGUUUUGGUUAUAAACCUAAAUUAUAAACAAGAAACCAGAAUAUUAGAGAUCUACAUAACACAACUAUAAACAGCCAAACACGUCCUCGACUUUCAAAGGAAAACAAGGUGACAACCCUCAAACCAUAUAAACAUAACAAAGGUUUUCAAACCAGUUUCCCUCUGCCAUUGGCUCAUAAAUAGUACAGCUUGUCAAGCAAAUAUCUUUGCCCGAUUGCCUCUGUGUUUGCUUGAAGCCUACCCAAGUUAAAAAGAUGGUACUCCAGUUCCUCCUUUAUCAUUCUAUAUCAACAUAUUCUUUUUAUUUACUUUGUCCCCUCCUACGCCUCUUUGUUUCCACCUUUGUGUCUGGUUGUCUGGAAGUAGAAUGGGAAUUCUGCAGCUUCUUUUGACCUUCAGACGAACAAUUCUCACAAAAGAAGUGAUCAAGUCUUUUAGCUUCCUCUGCAGUCAUUUCUAUACAAGCAGGAUGAAACCUGAAGCAAAAGUAGUAUUUUGAAUGAUGCAUCGGAUUUGCAUAAAUUGGAAAUGUUUGCAGCAUGAAAUCAGUUCUAUAACAAAAGUAAUAAUGUGAAGACAAAAAAACCACAACUUCAAGAAAUGGCAUGUAGGCAUUAAGCCUUUUACAAACACUGUUGUUAACUAUUUUAUAACAGGGUCUGGUAGAUAGCAUCAGACCUCAAUCUAACAAGUUCCUUGAAGUGAAGACCUAGAUAUUUCUCAAGGGUACAGCAUCUGUCCCAUUUAUAAGCCACAAGAACAAUUUAUCUGUCCUUCUCAGCAAAUACUUCAAAACAUUGACCAGAUGACAAGUCCUCAUGCUUCUUUACUUUUUAACAUUAUGACAAUGGUUAUCAUUACUUAAUACAACAAAUUUUCCCAUAACAUUCAGCUCUCGAAAUGACUUUAUUUACUUAUAAGUGAAACAAUUUAAUACUGACAGCGAAAAAAAAAAUAAUAUAACCCAAGCUUUGAUAGGCUUCAAGAGAUUAUGGUACUUAAAGAUAUGCAGUAAGUAAUUCAACACAGAGAAAAUGACAAUGACACAAAGCUUUUCGAAAAAUGAAAAGGGUUCAUUCUUACUGUGUUGUUGUAAACAAAAAGUAGUUUAAUCAGUCCAUUUAUCACCAAGCCACUAGUUUUAACAAAUAUAAACCUCUGUUACUUUUACCAGGGAUCUAUCUCUUACAAAUUUGAUGUUGAGCUAGUGCUCCACCACCAGGUUAGAGAUAUUCUAGCAAUAUAUGAUCCGUCACAUCCUUAAGGUUUUUCACGCUAAAGUUAUCACAUGGAAACAUCAAGUGUCAGAUAAGAGGUUGCAUUACCACCUAAUGGGGACACUAAUGAGGUGAAUUCUAGGACUUUCACAAUUGUUUAGGCCAUAAGAUUACCACAAGAUUUUGUUCAGUAAAUGGUUAAGAGGAUGAUAAAUACAAUUUCUAUAUUUGUGCACAAUGUUAAAACCAACAUAACACAUCAUAAUAGUGAUGGUGUUAACUCAUUAAUGGCAUUGUAACGGCAGUAAAAGUGGUGGUGGUAGAAGGUGACAAUGGCAUGAAACUGCUUCUUUUUCCUUCAUGAAACUGCUUCUUUUUCCUUUCAUCCCAAUUAACCCAGUCCAUCUGGGAUGAAAUGUUAGCCUCCCUAAAAUUUUUCCCUUUCCAACCAAAUAUAGUAAAAGAUUAGUAAAAUGUUACUCCACUAACAAUAACAUCCAUUAAACUCAUUCAAAACACAAGCACACAACUUAAAUUUAUCUAUAAUAUAAACAAAUAUGAAUUUAGAAGAGAAAACUAAAAUAUCUAAGCAAAGCAUUACCCUAGAUUCCAAGGGGGCCAAGAACAAAGGAGAACUAAAUUGAAUCAAUUCCAUCAUUGCACUCAGUAGGGGGGCCCCCCGGGGCGGGGGUUUGUGGGUGGGGUGAGGGAGAGGUGGGGGAUGGUGUGCAUAUUUUUAAACUCUUGCCUCUAAAUUUUCUCCCUUGUUGACUUUCUGCAUGAAUGCUUUUAUACCAUAUUAUAUUAGUUUUCCCAAAAUUAAAAAAACCAUUUCUUGUUUAACAGGACACUUAUGAAACCUAAACCAUGAGCUUGUCCAUUUUCCAAACACUAUAUUAAUCUCCAAGGUGCAUUCCACAUGUGACCAGUCACUGCAGCCUUCACAUUGAACCAUUAAAUCAUCAGGGUUAUAAGGCAUCUCGCAUUUGCAAUACACGGCGACUCUAUCGGGAUUGAAAGCACCAGUGGAGGAAUUGUACUCAAAACGACAGAAGAAGUCCUCGUUUCCAACAGCGUCUAGCUUAGUGUAACUCUUGAAACUGUGAACCGUACACUUGCCUUCGAUGGUAUCAGCGCUCUGUAUAUCAUAAUGAUCAGAAAGGAACAGCUCUUUAGAGCCAUGAAACUGGCGGCGGCCACCGAUCGACUCCUCCGGGCGGUAGUACCAGCGGACAUGGACCCUGACGUUGGCACCACGAGCGUCGGAUUCGAUUCGAUCGAUCCUGGCUACGUAGGAAGGCUUGGACGGAUCGGAGGGUCGCAUCAAGACGCAGUCAGAAGCUUUAAUGGUUUUGUUGAUGUGCUUGAGUGUGUAGGAGUCUAGAGUGCGUCUGGGUGCCUUUGGCUUGGCCAUGGAAUGAAAGUGGAAGUGGAAGUGGAAGUGGUGUAUGUUGGUUGUCUGUCCAGGAUUACAAAUACAACUCGCACGAAGACAAGAGAGAGAUUGUGGAGAGAGG